GGGUCCUCAGCGCGGUUAGCUGGAGUCCGGUCCCGCCAAGCUUGUCCCGGGGCGCGAUCGUUCGGCGUUCUGUCACGGUCAGAUUGGAGGAAGUUAAGUCUGUGUGGGGUCUGUGCCUGACUUACAGGGCGCGUCAGCGGACUGAGGCCCUGACCCCUGCCGUCCGCGUGACCUUCCAGGCGCCCUGACCGAAACUUUUCAUAAGCUGACAGUUGUUUUUUAAAUCAUAGUUGGCAGGAUCAGUUUGGUGGGUCACGGACUAACAGUGUUUUUUGUUUGGUUUGGUUUGGUUUUUUUAAGCCUGUAGGGGCACCUGGCUGGCUCAGUAGGGGAGGAGCAUGGGACUUUUGAUACCAGGGUUGUGAGUUCAAGCCCCUCUUUGGGUGUGGAGAUUACUAAAAUAAAUAAACUUUAUUAAAAAAAAAAAAAAGAAGAAGAAGAAGAAACCUACAGUGUCUGCAGUUCAUUAGGGCAGAGUUCAUACCAGUUUUGUGCAGGGUCCACACAGCCAAACCCAAGGGGUAAGGGUGGGCUGUCCACUUACGGGCACCCGGAUUGGGGACGGCAGGCAAGAGGCACGGUGGGCUGAGCUGGGAACAGGAAGCAGGCACAACGGUGGAGAGCAGACAUUAAAAGAACCGCACACGUGGGGAUAAAGAUACAAGCUCUGGGAAGGGCCCACAGAAAGAAACAAGGGACCUCCUUUAGCCAGGGACGGGCCGAGCUGGAACAGUUCCACCGAGCUAGCAAGGCAGAGAAGGAUUUCACCUGCUCAGCGUCCUGGCCUCAAAACUGUACCUCUCUCCAGCUCCAUGUGAGGUGAGGCUGCCUCUUGGAGCACUUGGACCACACGGGUACCAAACAUGGACUUUCUCUGCACUUCUGGCCCCGUGGAUGGCCUGCGAGUGGCAUUUUCUGGGUACAACUGAGGCAUCCAGCUGGUGCUCCUUACAUGUUAGCAGAACACAUCCCACCCACUGUCCCUGAGGAGGCCAUCCAUUCCUUACCGAAGCAAUCCACUAUCCUACUGGCAGAGUUAUCAGCUCCAGGGAGCCAAGGUAAAUUGAGAGUGAAAUGUUUUUGGGAGAGCCCACAGAGACAUGUCACAGUUCUCUCCGUUUCUGGGCCUUCGAGUCAUGAGGAUCAGUCUCUGAUGUGGGACAGGGAUACAGCCACCCCUCCCAGGCAACUGGCAGCAAAACAUGAGAGGAGAACAGCAGAAAGGUGGAGCCAACCGUGGGAGAACCACACUUCUAGAGCCCCAAAAGGGCAAAAACAGUCACACAAGAACAGAAGAGCUCUUAAGAAUAGUGGGCUGGAUUCUAAAACUGGGACCCAAACACCUGGGGCAAAAUGAGAUUGUUGGGGCCUUGAAAAACCAUUUUCUCUGGCUGGUGGCAGAAGAACCAGAGAGCCUGGAGACGUGAGAAGGACUCAGCACGCAUUGCUGCUUUGAAGAUAGAGGGGCCCAGUGAGAAAGAAUGUGGGCAAAGAGCUAGAAGAGGCCCCUGCAGAAGAAGUGGAUUCUUCCCAGAUUCCCGAGGUAAGCACCCAGUCUGGCCAACACCUUGA